UAGCAUAUUUUUUUAUUAAUAUGCAGAAAAUGCAUUUUAAAAACUGAUCUUUCGCCUUAGCCAAGAUUUAAAUUAUCAUGACCGGUACGACGAGUGAACAAAUGCAAGUAAUAUAAUUUGAAUUCCAAUUUAAUGCCUAAUUUCAUAGUUAUCGAGACGAAUGGCGAGUAAAAACACUAUUCGUAUCUACAUGGGAGAAAAACAUAGACAAAAUCAACUGCUAGCGUUUCGUCAACGAAAGAAGAAGCAAGGAAAAGAUUCUGCGUAGAUUCAACGAACGUGAUCUCCAGUAGGCAUCGUGGCAUCAAUUAAAGAUGUUAAAUCUGAAUGUUAGAGAACGUAGAAGUGUAUAAAUUUGUCUUUCUAAAUGAAGCCGAUUGAAGAUCCUAAGAUGAGACUCUCUCACGCUCUCAGCUCGCCUAGAGGCAAUGAGGAUGAGCCAUGAAAGAGAUGUGUUAUAUUGGAUGAUAUAAUGCACACAUAUUCAUCUCCGCGGGAGGCGACGUAAAUAUGAUGAUAACAAGCGUUAACGUUGAAAAACAUGUUGCAAUAACAGCAGAGGUAUAGCAGGUCAAAAUGUCAUCUGAAUAAAUUUAGAUAAUAAACGUUAUUAUUAUAUCUGACU